rnacentral:precursor_RNA from 8 species
CUUCCUUUUCUCUGCUGACUGCCUGUCUGUCUGGGUAAUCGCUCUAGACCAUGUGAUGUCGCAUGCUGCAGCGCUCAUGACUAGAGAGUUUACUCAUCCAGAGAGUAGUCUCCUUCUUCUCAUUGUUAG